CUCAUCAACCCUGUGAACAUACCUAAAACGUUGCUUCGGCGGGAAUAGACGGCCCCGUAACACGGGCCGCCCCCGCCAGAGGACCCCUAACUCUGUUUCUAUAAUGUUUUUUUCUGAGUAAACAAGCAAAUAAAUUAAAACUUUCAACAACGGAUCUCUUGGCUCUGGCAUCGAUGAAGAACGCAGCGAAAUGCGAUAAGUAAUGUGAAUUGCAGAAUUCAGUGAAUCAUCGAAUCUUUGAACGCACAUUGCGCCCGCCAGUAUUCUGGCGGGCAUGCCUGUUCGAGCGUCAUUACAACCCUCAGGCCCCCGGGCCUGGCGUUGGGGAUCGGCGAGGCGCCCCCUGUGGGCACACGCCGUCCUCCAAAUACAGUGGCGGUCCCGCCGCAGCUUCCAUUGCGUAGUAGCUAACACCUCGCAACUGGAGAGCGGCGCGGCCAUGCCGUAAAACACCCAACUUCUGAAUGUUGACCUCGAAUCAGGUAGGAAUACCCGCUGAACUUAAGCAUAUCAA
rnacentral:rRNA from 1 species